GUGUUGCUGGAGACAGGCAGGUCAGGUCCUGCAGCUUUCUGAAGAACCUUAGAACGUUGUGUUCUUUGAUUAAAAUGCAAUUCUGAAGACUUGCUGAAGGCCUGAAGUCUUCCUGAGUGAUUGGGUGACAGUUGCCAUGGCGCAGCAGCUGACUGGGGACAAGAGCUCACUCUGGAUGGAUGGAAACCACAUCACACAUCGACCUUUGGAUGUCUUAGCUCACCCCAAAGCCUUCAUCGAGACCCUAAAAUGACACCGGUAGAACAGACCUGCAAUUACAUCGUUUCUGCGAUGUUGUGCUUCGCAGAUUCAGCACAGCUGGCUGAAUUUUUACACUCCUGGGCUGCCAGCGCCGCAGCCUUUCCGAUGGAAGAUGCGCCUUUCCUGCAGGCUCUACACCCAGACCGAUCGGCGACCGCCCGAAGGCAGCCCCCAUAGAGCCUGUCUGCUAGUCCACCACGAUCCCCUUUCAACUAUACAAAGUUGAAAUAAUCUAACGCGUUUCCUCAGCAAAGUACAGACCAGACCUGCACCGAAACGAUUUCGGAUCACUUUUCCCGUAAGACCCUUCAGAGCAAAUUUUGAAAAGGUUCUCCACGCUGUCAUCUGGUGGCAUCGGCGACUAAAAUGAUGCACGAAAUGCUUUGCUACAUAAACCAGGAGGCGGGGGAACCGUCAUGAUGAAAUAUCGCGAGAUUUCCGUUUGCGAGUGCAGUUUAAAGAU